CUAACAAGGAUUCCCCUAGUAACUGCGAGUGAAGCGGGAAAAGCUCAAAUUUAAAAUCUGGUAGCCUUUGGUUAUCCGAGUUGUAAUCUAGAGAAGUGUUACCCGCGUCGGACCGUGUAUAAGUCUCCUGGAAUGGAGCGUCAUAGAGGGUGAGAAUCCCGUCUUUGACACGGACUCCCGGGGCUUUGUGGUAUGCUCUCAAAGAGUCGAGUUGUUUGGGAAUGCAGCUCAAAAUGGGUGGUAAAUUCCAUCUAAAGCUAAAUAUUGGCGAGAGACCGAUAGCGAACAAGUACCGUGAGGGAAAGAUGAAAAGAACUUUGGAAAGAGAGUUAAACAGUACGUGAAAUUGCUGAAAGGGAAACGCUUGAAGUCAGUCGCGUUGGCCGGGAAUCAGCCUUGCUUUUGCUUGGUGUACUUUCUGGUUGACGGGCCAGCAUCAGUUUUGACCGGUGGAAAAAGUUCAGGGGAAUGUGGCAUCUUCGGGUGUGUUAUAGCCCUUGUUCGUAUACAUCGGUUGGGACUGAGGAACUCAGCACGCCGCAAGGCCGGGUCUUUGACCACGUUCGUGCUUAGGAUGCUGGCAUAAUGGCUUUAAUCGACCCGUCUUGAAACACGGACCAAGGAGUCUAACAUGCCUGCGAGUGUUUGGGUGGAAAACCCGAGCGCGUAAUGAAAGUGAAAGUUGAGAUCCCUGUCAUGGGGAGCAUCGACGCCCGGACCAGACGUUUUCUGACGGCCCUGCGGUAGAGCAUGUAUGUUGGGACCCGAAAGAUGGUGAACUAUGCCUGAAUAGGGUGAAGCCAGAGGAAACUCUGGUGGAGGCUCGUAGCGAUUCUGACGUGCAAAUCGAUCGUCAAAUUUGGGUAUAGGGGCGAAAGACUAAUCGAACCAUCUAGUAGCU
rnacentral:rRNA from 1 species